rnacentral:lncRNA from 1 species
UUGCUGCCACAGUAUAAUCUCAAAAGCACUCAGAAAACAUACAGGAUUUGACAAUACAAAGUUUUGCACUCAAAGAAAUACAGUGUCUGAAUUGUAACAUUCAAAGAUGAAGAAAAUAUUUGGGUACAAUUAGUGGAAAUACCACAACCAUUUCAUUGGGAAGCAUGAUUCUUAUUAAAAUGAAUUUGCUACUAAUAAACAUACUGCUAAAUCUUAACAGAAAGCUACUUUCUGGUGCAGCUUUUAGUACCACGUAUUGCAUCUCAUUCCUCUGGGCAAAGAUGGGACUUGGAACACACCUGGUAAAACAUCUGGGUUUAUUGCCAGAUACCGAAGUGACGUGCUGAGAGACAGGUUAAUUCACAUUCUAUUUCUAUGGUCCAUCUUCUUAUCUGUGCAAUGGACCCUUGCUUCUCUUAUGAACGAUCACCACAAAACUGACUUUCAGGUGAAAACUGUGCUCCUUUCCAUUUCGAUAAAUAGAUGGUAAUAAUCUUUUAUUCACACACAUACCCCUUAUUUUAUAGAGUCUCCCUCUGUCACCAGUUACAAAACCAGAAGUUUUCUGAUUCUUACACAAGAGGGGUAGUUACAUUGUGUGGUAUUACAAAUGCGUAUCUCUGUUUAAGAUGAAAAAUGAGCAACUUUGAGCUAUAAAAGCAGGCUCUUUCCAUAUUUUUGGUGAAUUUAGCAGCUAUUUUGAAUAUUCUACAUUUAUCAAAAUAUUUUCCAUUUCAAACACGAGCCUUGAAGGAGACAUCCUUCUCUGAAUUUUAAAGCAAGUCUACAUUAAGCUCAAGGUAGCAGCUUCUACUGUUAAAUAUUCUUAAACACAGCAGACUUGAAAAAAACAAGUUGUUUUCUGGAUGCAAAUAGAUAAAGUGAUAAUAAUAUCCUUAAAUACUUCCUCCUUUUCCCACAAACAUGGGAAAUAUCAUUCCACAAGAAGCACUUUCAUCUCAGAAGUCUUUCAUGGCAAAGAAUCACUGUUGCAGGCAUUGUUGAAAGGUAGCAAAAGGAAAAAGGACACAUGCCUUCCCAUUCCUUUUACAUAUCUAUAUCUAUGUAUUCAUAUAUAAUCAGUUCGAGUUUGAAGAGCUGACAAACUUGGUGACAGAAACAUUAUGGUAUAUGGCUACUAGUACAGCAUC